rnacentral:rRNA from 1 species
AUUGAACGCUGGCGGCAGGCCUAACACAUGCAAGUCGAACGGUAACAGGAAGCAGCUUGCUGCUUCGCUGACGAGUGGCGGACGGGUGAGUAAUGUCUGGGAAGCUGCCUGAUGGAGGGGGAUAACUACUGGAAACGGUAGCUAAUACCGCAUAAUGUCGCAAGACCAAAGAGGGGGACCUUCGGGCCUCUUGCCAUCGGAUGUGCCCAGAUGGGAUUAGCUUGUUGGUGGGGUAACGGCUCACCAAGGCGACGAUCCCUAGCUGGUCUGAGAGGAUGACCAGCCACACUGGAACUGAGACACGGUCCAGACUCCUACGGGAGGCAUCAGUGGGGAAUAUUGCACAAUGGGCGCAAGCCUGAUGCAGCCAUGCCGCGUGUAUGAAGAAGGCCUUCGGGUUGUAAAGUACUUUCAGCGGGGAGGAAGGGAGUAAAGUUAAUACCUUUGCUCAUUGACGUUACCCGCAGAAGAAGCACCGGCUAACUCCGU